rnacentral:sRNA from 1 species
GUGUAAGUGGGAUGACGUAGGGAGUAACUCUCCCAGAAACGGACGUAGUACAUCGGUCGAGCCUGGGCGGUUAUCUUGAGAAAUUUGAGGGUGCAGUCUUUCUAGCCGUGUGCAGAGGAAACGUUGUUGAAUUAUAAGAAAGCGGGGAAAGGGAGAUUCUGCGAAGCUGUUUCAAUAUUGGUCGUUUCGGUGCCUGUCUCAGACAACCAUGUCUUCUUUAUACAGAGGGGAAUCUAGGAGGUACAACAAUAAACAAAAAGGACGCCAUAAUUUGACAACGCGAAGAAGCAGGAAAUUAUGGAAUCCUUUGAGUUAUUUGAUACCGAUGGCUCAGGUACUAUUGAUGCCAAGGAGCUGAAUGUUGCCAUGAGAGGAUCGAGUGGUUAGUCCAGAGGAAUUCAUCACGAUGAUGAACAGAACUCGCUUCCAUCACUAGUGAUAUCUAUGUGGGGCUAGUGACUAUCUUUGUUUGGAUGCACUUGUAUGGGAAAAUUAAAAUCAUAAUGGCGAAGUUAUAUAUUGUACUCUCUGUAUAAAUGAUUCCAAUGCUGUGACUUUUUGUAUUGCCUAUGAAUAAAUAACAUUGAUGUGUG